GCUGAUGGGGAGCUGCCGCCCUGGCUGAUGCUCGAGCGGGCCGCGUGCUGAUGGGCGAGCGGCAACAGGGGCUAAUGAGUUGUGUUCUGCUCUGUUCUCGUUCACAUGCAGGGUCAAGGAGGCGGGAUAUCCAUGUCGGCUUCAUCCAAGGUCAAGCUUACCACGACCACCCCACCACCAAGCAAAGCGAACAACCACAUCACGGUGCCAAGGUAUCCAACUCUUAUCCUCUUUCUUUUCUCUCUCCCGUCCUCUUUUUCAUUGAAGUAACCCCUCCUGUGUGGUGUGGCUGUCAUCCAUAUCUUCCUGUUUGCAAGUCUCUCGGUUCAGUAAUGCAUAGUAACUUGGAUGAUGGAAAUGAAAAUUGAUCUGCAGCUAUUCACUGAACAUUGUAACUGGACUAGCCUUAAUUACGAUAUAUAUGAACUGAAUUUUUAAUGUGUUUAUUAUAGCCCAGUUCAGACUCUGAAAUUGGAUUUGCAUGGGGAAGCUAUGCCUCUAACCAACAUGAAACUGAACAGUAAGAAUUCUGCAGCAUCUUAUGUUAGUAAUCACUUAAUUGCUUGAAAAUACAUCGAAAUACUACUUUUAAAUAACUAGUACUCCAAACAAACAAGGAGGCCUGCAUUACUAAACUCUCGUGGAUAGUCAGACUACUAGUAAUCCUCAUAAAAAAUUCAGAGUACAAACUGUACUUUCAUCUUUUGUUGUUACUAAUCACAAUUUUCACACGUACUUUUUUCUUGUCUCAUUUCAUAUCAUAUUAUAACACUUCUGCAUGCCCAGCAAAGGACAUGGCAGGUGCAGCGCUUGCUUUCAGUUUAGUCUUCGGGCUUGUAGAUGAUGGGAAGCAAUGCUGGAGGAAAGUCGCAAUGAUGGAAGCGAUAUCUAUGGUCGUGAGCAUAAUAUGAGGGGCAAAAAGACAUAAGUGAUUCUACCAAGUGAAGUUAUGAAGCUCGAGUGUUGACGGUGUUUGAUAUCUUUGUACUAUGUGUCUAUAGAAUAUUGUUAAAAACAUUUUGUUCUAGUUACCAUUUCCUUCUUCAUUUGAUGAAUUGUUAAGGUUCAAAGUGAUUUGGAUCUCAAUCUUGUUGCGCCUUGAACAUGUUGAGAUUGUAAAAAAUAUAAUCCAUCUUUUGUCAUUUCGGACAGAUAUAUUGAUCUACAAGCAC
rnacentral:lncRNA from 1 species